AAUUUUCUCGUAAAAGCAACGUCUCUCUCGUUUUCAAGAACUCGACUAGAGUGAUAGAGCAAUAGCUUAGAAAACAGUGGGCUAGAGAUGGAAAUGGAGCAGCUGUUAAGCAUGGGCUUCCCCACCGACCUCGCCGCCGAAGCCCUCGCUGCCACCGGCGGCAACUCCGCUCUCAAAGCCACCGAUUGGAUUCUCAACCGCAAUUCCUCCACCACCGCCACCUCCACUCCCACCGCCACCUCUCAACCCAAACUCGAUCGCUUCUUCCUCUCCCAAUCCUCAAAUUCACAAUCCCAAGACAAACAAGAACCAGAAGAACAACAGUCCACCCCAACCUCCCAACUCCCCAAGCGCCGCAAACUACUCGUCCCGGAAACCCCGCCGCCCACCACCUCCGAUAAACCCGCAACCGCCGCCGCCCACCACCAGCCCUUGUCGGAGCGCAUGCGGCCCAGGACCCUAAACGACGUCGUCGGCCAGGACCACCUCCUCGCCCCAAACUCCCUCCUCCGCUCCGCAAUCAAAUGCGAGCGUCUCCCUUCCCUCGUCUUCUGGGGCCCACCCGGCACCGGCAAGACCUCCAUCGCCAAAGCCAUCAUCAACUCCGCCUCCUCCUCCGCCGCCCGGCCCUACCGGUUCGUCUCGCUCUCCGCCGUCACCGCCGGCGUCAAAGACGUCAGGGACGCCAUCGACGAGGCCCGGAAGAGGAAGAAGCUGAACGGCCAGAGGACCGUUCUCUUCAUCGACGAGGUUCACAGGUUCAACAAGUCGCAGCAGGACUCUUUCUUGCCGGUGAUCGAAGACGGCAGCAUAGUCUUCAUGGGCGCCACCACUGAGAACCCUUCGUUCCAUUUGAUCACGCCGCUCUUGUCUAGGUCUCGAGUUCUUGAUCUUCGACCCUUGAGCCCGCAAUAUAUAGAGGUUCUUCUCCGGCGAGCGGCGGAAAACUCCGAAGUCGGAUUGGCUCGGAGCGUGGGGAUGCAAGUAGAUGUGGAGGAGGAAGUCAUUCGUUUUAUCUCCGCCAAUUGCGACGGAGAUGCUAGAGUGGCACUCAAUGCAUUGGAAAUCUCAGCUACAACAGCAGCUGCCCGAGCCUCAACGCCGGAUUCAGCAGCUGGUGUUACCUUGGAGGAUGCCAAGGAAGCAUUGCAGUGCAAGCAUGUGGCUUCGGACAAAGCAGGGGAUGAGCACUACAACCUCAUCAGUGCGCUUCACAAGUCUAUGAGAGGAAGUGAUGCCAAUGCUGCUAUUUAUUGGCUGGCAAGGAUGGUUGAGGGAGGGCAGGAGCCUCUGUACAUUGCGCGCCGGCUCGUGAGGUUUGCCAGCGAAGAUGUGGGGCUGGCGGACCCGUUGGCACUUAAUCAAGCUGUGGCUUGUUACCAAGCUUGUCACUUUAUUGGAAUGCCAGAGUGCAAUGUGAUUCUUGCACAGUGUGUGGCUUACUUGGCUUUGGCUCCGAAGUCGAUUGCUGUUUAUAAAGCAAUGAAUAGUGCAGCAGAAGUGGUGAGGAGUUCGGUCGGACAGAAUGAGGGGGUGCCUCUUCAUCUCAGGAAUGCACCGACUAAGCUGAUGAAGGAUUUUGGGUAUGGGAAAGGAUAUAUAUACACUCCUGACAAUCCCUCUGCAGAACAGAGAUUUCUACCGCCAUCACUUGAAGGUUACAAGUUUCUGGAUUGGCCAAUCAGUAAUGACACUGAUGGAUGAUAAGCCUUUGGUUCACUUUUCUGGGUUUAUGAACCAGACUUCCUUGUUAAUCUCCAACCGUUCUGGUUUUCGUUGAAUGCUGGGGGAAAACGGUAGACCUUCUUUCGUGACCUGAGUGGGAUAUGAUUGAAGCUGAUGAAGAAAUGCUUGAUACUGCAAAACGUGGGUUAUUCUACCUCCUUUGUUUGUCUUUAUGAUGCUGGGAAGAGAGAUGAUGGCCCUUCAAAAGAUGUUAGAGAUUUUGUUUACUUGCUCAACUUGGCUUUGUGCAGGUUUUCCCUGAAGGAUACCGUCAAAUGAUCAGUCAAUAUCUAAACCCAACCCAUCAGGGACUGGUUUACUAAUGUAUUCCUGUGGGAUUUCUCUGGAGAUAUUGUAGUUUAACCAUGAAAAGUCAAAAGGAGACAUCCCACACCAGAUAGACCAGACAUAAUCUCUGAAAUAUGAAGAGAGAUCUCAAAUUGAUACUUCAACAGGUGAUAACAAUAGAUCGUAAUGGUACGAACAAUAGAGCAUAUCUCUACCAGUAAUCCUUAUUUUGAGUCAUUUGCAUGUUUUGGAAAAUUCGGCACCUGAUUCCUUUUUGACUCAUUUGCACUUUGGAGAAAAAGAAAAAAAAAGCAACCCAGUUUUAAAUACAUUGAUCAGCAUUGCAAUGAGUUGGCGCUUGGAUACUUUUAGACGGACUUCUAGAUGAGUAAGCAGGUAAACAAGACAAAGUUAUAUCUUGCUUAACCUUCUCUCAAAAUACUCCAAGGUCAACAAUGCUCGUGCUCUGUCAAUAAAGAAUCAACUGUUUUUCUUUUUAGUAGAGCCAAAUAAUUCAAUUCUGUUAGUAUGAUAUAAGAGUUUGUUCCUUUCUAUUGCUGGCAGUUUAGUUUGGACUGAUGAUUCUCCCACCCUCCUUCUGGAUGUAUUGAAGCAAGAUUGUAUAUAUUUGAUCUGUUUGUGAAAUUUUAUCAUUUUGUUAUGAAAAAGAAAACUUAAGACUU